UAUAUACUUCCUCCGUCCGAAAAUACUUGUCAUCAAAAUGGACAAAAAGAGGUGUAUCUAGAACUAAAAUAUAUCUAGAUACAUCCUCUUUUAUCCAUUAUGAUGACAAAUAUUUCCGGACGGAGGGAGUAUAUA
rfam:Triticum aestivum genome assembly, contig: Triticum_aestivum_CS42_TGACv1_scaffold_527135_6DL